rnacentral:rRNA from 1 species
GCCUACGGGGCGCAGCAGUGGGGAAUAUUGGACAAUGGGGGGAACCCUGAUCCAGCGACGCCGCGUGAGUGAAGAAGUAUUUCGGUAUGUAAAGCUCUAUCAGCAGGGAAGAAAGAAAUGACGGUACCUGACUAAGAAGCCCCGGCUAACUACGUGCCAGCAGCCGCGGUAAUACGUGGGGGGCAAGCGUUGUCCGGAUUUACUGGGUGUAAAGGGCGUGCAGCCGGGAAGACAAGUCAGAUGUGAAAUCCCGCGGCUCAACCGCGGAACUGCAUUUGAAACUGUUACUCUGGAGUGUGGGAGAG